rnacentral:rRNA from 1 species
UACGUAGGGUGCAAGCGUUGUCCGGAAUUAUUGGGCGUAAAGAGCUCGUAGGCGGUCUGUCACGUCGGCUGUGAAAACUCGGGCUCAACCCCGAGCCUGCAGUCGAUACGGGCAGACUAGAGUCCGGCAGGGGAGACUGGAAUUCCUGGUGUAGCGGUGAAAUGCGCAGAUAUCAGGAGGAACACCGGUGGCGAAGGCGGGUCUCUGGGCCGGAACUGACGCUGAGGAGCGAAAGCGUGGGGAGCGAACAGG